GUGAGAUGGCUUUGCCAGCCUGGUACUUGCUGUGUUUUCACCUUCUCAGGGAGAUACACGUUCCUUCAGAGCAUAACAGUUGCUGAUUUGGUCUGUAAAACAUAUAAACUUGUGUUUUCAGGUAGAAAACUGCAAACUGGAAAAAACCAGACUGUCAAGUCUCUGCUGAAACAUGAGGAACAUAUUUUUUUCCACUUUUGCUCACAUACUUCUCCCUAGUCAGCUCAUUUUUCUUUUAAAAUAUGUUUCCCCUUUUUUUCUUUUUAUUUAUUUUUUUUUUCCAAAUGAGUAGCAAUACCUUGGGUGCCAUUUCAGUGUCAUCUGCAAGUGCCAUUUCAACUCCUCCAAGGAAGGAGCUGCCAUGAAAGGAGUAGAAGUCUGUGGGAGCAUUUCUCCUGAUAAGGGCAAAAUUGUGACUGUCCUGGGCCACUUGGCAUUUCCCUUCACACCACUUCCCAAAAGCUCUUGACCAGAGGAAAAGGAUAUGCAGAAGGAACAUUCUUGGAAGGCACAACCAGAAGGAGCUGCCCCUCAAUGUGUGUGGCAGUGCCUCUGAUUUGGAACACACCAGACACUCUUCUCUCGGUUGUCAUCAAAACUAUCAUGUCCACUGGCAUCUUGAGGUUAAAUUGUGCUCUCUGAUGGACAAUUUUUGCCUUCUUUUGUUCCAAAUGAUGACACUGAAUUUGUACCAUUUUCCUGGAAAUAUUUCUUUGUACUUAAAGAAAAAUAAAAUCAAGACUAAAGAAGAAGUUGGUUGGCAAGU
rnacentral:lncRNA from 1 species